AACGAACGCUGGCGGCAUGCCUAACACAUGCAGGUCGAACGAGAUCUUCGGGUCUAGUGGCGCACGGGUGCGUAACGCGUGGGAAUCUGCCCUUUGGUUCGGAAUAACAGUUGGAAACGACUGCUAAUACCGGAUGAUGACGAAAGUCCAAAGAUUUAUCGCCAGAGGAUGAGCCCGCGUAGGAUUAGCUAGUUGGUGUGGUAAAGGCGCACCAAGGCGACGAUCCUUAGCUGGUCUGAGAGGAUGAUCAGCCACACUGGGACUGAGACACGGCCCAGACUCCUACGGGAGGCAGCAGUGGGGAAUAUUGGACAAUGGGCGAAAGCCUGAUCCAGCAAUGCCGCGUGAGUGAUGAAGGCCUUAGGGUUGUAAAGCUCUUUUACCCGGGAUGAUAAUGACAGUACCGGGAGAAUAAGCUCCGGCUAAUUCCGUGCCAGCCGCCGCAGUAA
rnacentral:rRNA from 1 species